GACGAACGCUGGCGGCGUGCUUAACACAUGCAAGUCGAACGGUGAAGGGACCGGUUUUUGCUGGUUCUGGAUGAGUGGCGAACGGGUGAGUAACACGUGAGUAACCUGCCCCCUUCUUCUGGAUAACCGCAUGAAAGUGUGGCUAAUACGGGAUAUUCUGCGCCUGCUGCAUGGUGGGUGUGGGAAAGAUAUUGUUUCGGUGGGGGAUGGGCUCGCGGCCUAUCAGCUUGUUGGUGGGGUGAUGGCCUACCAAGGCGGUGACGGGUAGCCGGCCUGAGAGGGUGGACGGUCACACUGGGACUGAGACACGGCCCAGACUCCUACGGGAGGCAGCAGUGGGGAAUAUUGCACAAUGGGCGCAAGCCUGAUGCAGCGACGCCGCGUGAGGGAUGGAGGCCUUCGGGUUGAAAACCUCUUUCGCCAGUGAAGCAGGCCUGUCCCUUUUGUGGGUGGGUUGACGGUAGCUGGAUAAGAAGCGCCGGCUAACUACGUG
rnacentral:rRNA from 1 species